AAGAAAACUCCACAGUUGAAUUGUACUUUGUGUUAGACUUGUGCUGCACCUGGAAAUAGGCCCCGAAUGUGUUCGCAACCAUUCAUUAUCGAAGGUAUCCAUCCAUCCAUCCAUCCAUCCAUCCAUCCAUCCAUCCAUUUUCUAAUCUGCUUAUCCUCUGAGGGUUGCGGGCGUGCUGUCGGCUAUCGCAGCCGUCUUUGGGAAGUAGGCUGGGGACACCCCUGUCAUGAUGUGGUUUGGGACCAACAGGAUUCACUGUAGGGCUCCCCCUGCAGCUGCACACCUGUUGGCCAUUAGGUAAUUAUUGCUUUAAAAGGACUCCCAGCCCGACCACUCAUUGCCGGGUCAUUGUUGCUGUUUGCUGCUGUCACGUUUGUUCUGGUCAUGUUUUUGUUCCUCUUAGGUUUUUUUUUGUUUGUUUUUUUUUUUUUUGCCACAGCUAUGGAUUUGGUUUGUUACUUUGGAGUCUUUUUGUUUUCAUGACUUUGUUUGUUCUGGAUUUAUUUUCUGUGUUUUAAUACAAUUCGUCAAGUACAACCUGCACCUCCCUCGUGCCUGCUUUUUCGGGUCCUCCAUCACCUCGCAACCGUGACAACCCCGAACUGGAUGCCAGCCAAUCGCAGGGCACACAGAGACCGACAAUCAUCCGUCCUCACACUCACACCCAGGGACAAUUUUGAGUGUUCAAUCAGCCUGCCAUCUUUGGAAUGAGGGAGGAAACCGGAGUACCCGAAAACCCACGCAAGCAUGAGGAAAACAUGCAACCUCCACCAAUGAAGGCUGGAAUCCUGCACCUCUGCACUGUGAGGGGGGCGUGCGGACCAGUCGUCCACCAUGCCACCCAAGCCCUGCAGUCUAUCAGCACGCGCGAUUGGAGGGACGAACACAGAGACGGCGCGGGA